rnacentral:tRNA from 1 species
GUGGACGUGCCAUAGUGGUUAUUGGGCAUGACUAGAAAUCAUGUGGGCUCUAACCGCGGAGGUUCGAAUCCUGCCAUCCACG